GCUGGUGCCUCCGUACCUGCAAUGCUGCAGAAAAGAGAGAGUCUCUCCCUCUCUGCAUUAUGACAAAUCAAGGCGAGCAGCUGUGCUGUUAGCACAUCAAAGAAACCAAAUGGAGACAAGAAGAAGGCAGAGGGAGGGUGAGAAUGAGAGGAAUACAGGCUGAGGGUCUAAAUAGACUGCAGAAGGAAGAACAUGUCAAAAUAAAAGUCUCUAGUCCUUUCAUUUCAAACUGUUCAGAGAACAGUGAAGUCAAAUUUAACUCAAGAGAAUCUGCCUAACUUGACUCAGAAGUUAAAGACUGUAGACGCAAAAGGAUAAAUGUUUACUAGCGUUAUGCAUGUAUACUGAAAGUUUGCCCAAGAAUAUAGCUUUGGAUUUUACAGACUACAUGCAGCAUCAACAUUCCUGAUAUCCUUCUAGAUGAGCAGAAAUAAACAGCCUUUGCAAAGUAACCUGCCAACCAAGGAAUGACGCUGAAUCAAGUACCUAACAUUGUACGCUCAGUAAAAUCAUUCACAACAACCCCCCCCAAAACAGCAUUCAGAACAGAGCAAACAAGAAACCAAAUGCCAUCCAGAACAUUGCUUGUUAAUUGGAUGCCACAAACAUUUCUGAGGAAAGGAAGUCUGGUUUCCCUUUUUCCAUGAGCAGUCUGAAAACCCAGUAGAUAGCAGAGCUAGUAGAGACACAUCAAGAAAGAAAAAUCUCCUUGGACAGGUGAGCUACAAGUAACUAGCUGUGGAGUGAACCAACUCGACAGGCAAACAGUGCUUUAUAGCUGAUGAAUAUAGACAGGCUGGUAUCAAAGAAUGCUGUGUUUAUGUCAACAGUAAACCUUCAGGAAAUCAUUAAAUUUUAAAUGCCAGAAAGUACCCAAACCUCUCCUGAGUCCUCCUUCUAAGCAACUGUCUUGAACAUGAAAAGUUUUUGU